CCUACGGGUGGCAGCAGUGGGGAAUAUUGGACAAUGGGCGAAAGCCUGAUCCAGCCAUGCCGCGUGUGUGAAGAAGGCCUUCGGGUUGUAAAGCACUUUCAGUGGGGAAGAAAGCCUUGGGGCUAAUACCCUCGAGGAAGGACAUCACCCACAGAAGAAGCACCGGCUAACUCCGUGCCACAGCCGCGGUAAUACGGAGGGUGCGAGCGUUAAUCGGAAUUACUGGGCGUAAAGCGCGCGUAGGCGGUCUGAUAAGCCGGUUGUGAAAGCCCCGGGCUCAACCUGGGAACGGCAUCCGGAACUGUCAGGCUAGAGUGCAGGAGAGGAAGGGAGAAUUCCCGGUGUAGCGGUGAAAUGCGUAGAGAUCGGGAGGAAUACCAGUGGCGAAGGCGGCCUUCUGGACUGACACUGACGCUGAGGUGCGAAAGCGUGGGUAGCAAACAGGAUUAGAUACCCCGGUAGUC
rnacentral:rRNA from 1 species